GACGAACGCUGGCGGCGUGCUUAACACAUGCAAGUCGAACGGAAAGGCCUGCUUUCCCUUGUGGAUUGCGGGUACUCGAGUGGCGAACGGGUGAGUAACACGUGAGUGAUCUGCCCCCAACUUGGGUAUAAGCCUGGGAAACUGGGUCUAAUUCCCGAUAGGACUGCAGGGUGGUGCCUGUGGUGGAAAACGAUUUUCUAGUGGUUGGGGAUGAGCUCGCGGCCUAUCAGCUUGUUGGUGGGGUAAUGGCCUACCAAGGCGGCGACGGGUAGCCGGGCUGGGGGGGUUGACCGUCGCAUUGGGACUGAGCUACGGCCCAGACUCCUACGGGAGGCAGCAGUGGGGAAUAUUGCACAAUGGGCGGAAGCCUGAUGCAGCGACGCCGCGUGGGGGAUGACGGCCUUCGGGUUGUAAACUCCUUUCGACCGCGAGGAAGCCACCUGGUUGGAAGGGUGGUGACGGUAGUGGUAGAAGAAGCACCGGCUAACUACGUG
rnacentral:rRNA from 1 species